rnacentral:rRNA from 1 species
GACGAACGCUGGCGGCGUGCUUAACACAUGCAAGUCGAACGGAAAGGCCCUGCUUUUGUGGGGUGCUCGAGUGGCGAACGGGUGAGUAACACGUGAGUAACCUGCCCUUGACUUUGGGAUAACUUCAGGAAACUGGGGCUAAUACCGGAUAGGAGCUCCUGCUGCAUGGUGGGGGUCGGAAAGUUUCGGCGGUUGGGGAUGGACUGGCGGCUUAUCAGCUUGUUGGUGGGGUAGUGGCUUACCAAGGCUUUGACGGGUAGCCGGCCUGAGAGGGUGGACGGCCACAUUGGGACUGAGAGACGGACCAGACUCCUACGGGAGGCAGCGGGGGGGAGUAUUGCACAAUGGGCGGGAGCCUGAUGCAGAAACGCCGCGUGCGGGAUGACGGCCUUCGGGUUGUAAACCGCUUUCGCCUGUGACGAAGCGUGAGUGACGGUAAUGGGUGAAGAAGCACCGGCUAACUACGUG